UGCUGGAUGGAGUCCAGUGCAGCAGUCCUCCUUAUCUGAGUUUCUGCUCAAUUUUAUGCACAUACACUCUUUGCUCAUCAACGGCCAACCUGCACGGGAGCCAAGAGUGCGUAAGAGGGCGACAGCUUUCCCCACCCACGCUUCUGAUAAGCUAAAAACAGAUUGAAGGUCUAAGUCAAUUUCACUUAAGCAUGUGAUAAAAUUCUUUGCUAAACUGGGGCCUAAGUCAGUGUGGUCUUAGGGUGGAACUCAAAUAACUGCUCUUGGAGGAGGAAGAACGGGCGCAAGAACGGAGCCAAAGGUUCUCCUGGGGUGACGGGCUGGGGUGAGCGGCAAAAGCCCAAGCAAAUGGGAAAACAGCGUGAUCCGAGAGAAGGAAGGAUUGUAUGACUGGCUCCGUGGCUACGGCUUGGGAGGAGGAAUUUCCUCGUGGGAACGUUGCCAGGAGGCUGUCUUAAUGAAAUAUAGCAGAUGGAAAUAAAGAGGAGAAGCCCGUCCUAUGUGACUAGCCAUCUGUCUGGGGAUCAGCAACAAGUAUUUCAUGGAUCACAGCUAGAAAAUUACUGGCCCAUCUUAGGUCAGCCGAAGGUGCCAGUGGCAGCUCUGCUUGGCAGCUGGUCCUUCUCAGCAUCGCACCCGCCGAGGGCGUCGGAGCUGGGGCGGGAUGGCGAUGCCAAUUAGAGGGAGGCCAUCAAUCAGCCCCUCCCUUCCAGCAUUCCUCUGAAAACGCCUGUAAGGAAAUUAUUAAAAUGCAUCCCCGCUGAUUUCCGCCCCCCCGGCUU